rnacentral:rRNA from 1 species
GACGAACGCUGGCGGCGUGCCUAAUACAUGCAAGUAGAACGCAGUUGCGAACGGGUGAGUAACGCGUAGGUAACUGCCUCAUAGCGGGGGAUAACUAUUGGAAACGUUAGCUAAUACCCCCUACUGUGCGAUUGACCUGCUUUGUAUUAGCUAGUUGGUGAGGUAAAGGCUCACCAAUGCGACUAUACAUAGCCCACCUGAGCGGGAGAUCGGCCAAACUGGGACUGAGACACGGCCCAGACUCCGACGGGAGACAGCAGUAGGGAAUCUUCGGCAAUGGACGGAAGUCUGACCGAGCAACGCCGGGGGAGUGAAGAAGGUUUUCGGAUGGUAAAGCUAUGUUGGUAGAGAAGCGGUAACUAAAGAGAAAGGGACGGCUAACUACGUGCCAGCAGGCGCGGGAAGAG